GACAGACUUCAACAAAUUUCAGGGCAUCAUUUCAUUUGUGAAUAUUAAAGGAGUGCACUGGAAGUUACUGUAUGUAUUGCCUGCCAUAAGUGCAGUUUUUUUCCUGGAUCCUGAGAAAAAUGAGUCAGAGCAAGCCGAGUCGGAGAAAGCUGCAAAAAGAAUUCAGGAAUAUCUGAGGAUGCGCAUGAUCCUCCAUGGAAAAAAUGACUGGGGAAAGAUCCGAUGGAGAGGACUGAUCAUGGAUCAUCCACUGCAGUCUGAUAACUGCAGUU